rnacentral:ncRNA from 1 species
UUUAAAGCAAAGAACAGAGAUAGUACAGAUUUAAGACAUGCAGAGAGAAGCCGGCAGGUGCGAGGCUUUUGUACGAGAAUCUGGAACCAGUCUGGGAGCUGCAGGAUGAAGACAGAGUGUUUGUUUUGGAAUCUGGAGAAAUUCUGCCGGAGGUCACCGUUAUCAGAGACAGCGUAAGUGGCUGCUUACGGAUGAGUGCAGGCAAGGCCUGAAUUUUAGGUGGUAACACGGAUUUAUAUUCGCCCUAAAC